rnacentral:lncRNA from 1 species
GAGUGAUAAAUCAUAGCCUUUACUCGCACGGGUGAGGCCCUACAAUAUCGAUCGCGAGCAAAGAGUUCAUUGAAUUAGGGAAAAUGGCUAGAGAGGCCCUUGUUGUCGAACACGAGGCCUCGAACGGAUUACGGCGACAAAAAUUGAGCAGACACGCGGUGGCCCGCUUGGUGUGAGGUAUACACGCGGGACCUCCGCUAUUGUAAGGAGUGUGGAUUUGGUGCCUUGGGUUGAGUUUCCUUUUUGAUGUGCUGCCAAAACUACUGAUCCCUCGGGAAAAACUAAGGUGCUAAGUAGAUCCUCUGAAGAAAGGUCAGCUGAUAUUUCAUUUGAUAAUCAAUCUAAAGCGACUUCAAGCAUUUCAUCAAAUAGUAAGAGUGAUUUAUCAACUAUUGAUGAAACUUGUGAAAUUUUUCGUAGGAUGCAAUCUUCUGUUUAGUAUUGUUGAAUCAAUUCCGUUUAAAGAGUUUGUUAAGUCGUUAAAUCCGAACUAUCAUCUGCCAUGCAGAAAAACUCUCUCCAAUACGUUGUUAAAUAAAUUACACAGCAAAAUUUCAAGUGAACACACAAAAAUGGAUCAGUCAGAAGGAGUAAUAGUGAUAGAUGGUUGGAAAAAUUCGGUUGUAAAUACUAAAAAUGUUGUAUGUAUUAUUCAUACAGCAAAUGAACCAAGUUUUUUUUUAAACUCUUGGGAUUUCACAUUGUUAUCUGAAGAUACACAAUAAUUAACUAAAGUUAUUGAAGAAGCUGUCGAAAUAGCCAAAACAAAUUAUAAUAAAACCAUUUAUGCCGUAGUUUCUGAUAACGCUCCAGUUAUGACAGCAAUGGGUAAAGCUGUAAAUUUAUGGCAUGCAGGAUGCAGCAGUCAUCAUGGAAAUUUACUUGCCAAGGAACUUAUUGAUAAAUCAUUUGCAGAAUCUAUAAAUACCAUUUUACGUACAUUCAAAGCUUCUAAUUUAGAACGAGAGAUAAUAGAAAACGGAGGAACAAAAAUUAAAUUGGCUUGCAAAACUCGUUGGUGCAGUUAUCGUGAUGCGUUUCGGUGUUGCUUAAAAAAUUUAGAUAUAAUGAAAAAAAUUAUCAGUAAUAAAUUAAACAAUCCGUCUUUUACAAAUCAAAAAAACAAGAGAAAGAAAAAUUGAUUACUUUGAAUGAUCAGAUUUUCGAUGAUUCUUUAAUAACAAAAUUACAAAAUUUCAUCGUUUUAUCUAAUCCAGUUUGUUCAUUAAUUAAUAAAUGUCAACAGUCAAAUUUUACUUUACCUGAUGCAGCUGAAGAGUGGAUGAAAUUAAAGGUUCUGACUGAGAAUGAAAAAAUUCAAGAAAUUGUCCAAAAACGCAUUGACAAAGUAUUGACUCGAAUUUUAUUAGCAGCGAAUUUAUUGCAUCCAGAUUAUCAAGGAAAAUAGUUUCGUCAUACCGAUAAAUAUUAUUCUCAAGCUAUUGAAUUUAUAAGGAAUGAAUUAAAUGAAUCUUAUCAUGAAAUGGAAGCUUAUGAAAAUAAAGUUGGAAUUUUUGAAUCAUUACUGAAAAAAGGAAAUAUCCCUCCAAAAUUAUUUUGGCAAAUGGCCGAAAACUCAUACCCAGUAAUUUCUCAAUUAGCUCAACGAUUGAUUAACAUUCCAUCGUCAUCAGCACAAAUUGAAAGAUUAUUUUCAAACAGGACAUUUGUUCAUUCUUGUCUUCGAAAUCGUUUAACACCCGAACGUUCAGAAAAGUUAAUCGACAUUUAUUAUACAUUGAAAAUGAGUUCUGGAAAUUCGAAAUGAGUAUUUAAAAUAUAUAUAUUGUGUAA